UGCCUUUAGUGACGCCUCCCGUCAUCUGAGG
rnacentral:piRNA from 1 species